GACGAACGCUGGCGGCGUGCUUAACACAUGCAAGUCGAACGGAUAGUCCCUUCGUGGUACUCGAUUCACGAACGGGUGAGUAACACGUGGUUGAUCUGCCCUGCACUUGUGGAUAAGCCUGGGAAACUGGGUCUAAUACCGGAUAGGACCACGUCAUUCCUUUACUGUGUUUGAAACCUUUUGCGGUGUGGGAUGGGCCCGUGGCCUAUCUGCUUGUUGGUGGGGUGAUGGCCUACCAAGGCGACGACGGAUCGCCGGCCUGAGAGGGUGACCGGCCACAGUGGGACUGAGAUAGGACCAAGACGCAAACGUGAGGAAGCAGUGGAGAAUAGUGCACAAUGGGCGGAAGGAUGAUGCAGCGACGCCGGGUGGGAGAUGACGGUCUUCGGGUUGGAAACAUCUUUAGCCAGGGACGAAGCGCAAGUGACGGUACCUGGAGAAGAAGGACCGGCUAACUACGUG
rnacentral:rRNA from 1 species